rnacentral:snRNA from 1 species
AUACUUACCUGAACGGGGUCAAUGGAUGAUCAAUAAGCUCCAUGGCCUAGGUUGGUGGUCUUCAUUGCACUCUGGAGAUGCAUCAGUCUAAGGUCUGUCCAAAUGACAGAGCCUACGUUAUAAUUUGUGGUAGUGGGGCCUGCGUUCGCGCGGCCCCUUU